GCAGGGUGUGGUGGCGCACGCCUGUGAUUCCAGCAGCUCAGGAGGCUGAGACAGGAGGAUCGUGAAUUCAAAUCCAGCCUCAGCAAUGGUGAGGUGCUAAGCAACUCAGUGAGACCCUGUCUCUA
rnacentral:sRNA from 1 species